AAUUAACACCGGACGACUCCUCAGCCGCCGGACGGCCCGGCAGCAGAGCCCUUUUUGCGGGAGGAAGGGCUGCAAGUCCCGCUUCCGCUUCCGCGCCGCUUCUAACCCGACAGCGGAAGUGCCGGGACCCCUAUAAACGGCACAAGGAAGCGCGACACGCACACGCCGUCGCGACGCCACGCUGCCAUCUAGGGCCCGCCGCUCCUUGUACGGGCACAGGAGGUGGGGCCUGCUGCCUGACGUCGAAGUCGAGGCGGGGCUCCGAUAGGGGGAACCUGGGGCUGGGGGCGGGGCCUAUGCAAAUCGCUGGGCUGAAACAUAAAUAGAGCACUCCGCGGACACGGGGGUGGCGGGGGCGGCCGGGUUGGAUGCGCGGUGGGUUGUGAGAAUGUCAGGCUCCUGUGACGCGGGAGGCGGGGCCCAGGCGGGGUUCCCGCGGGAGGGGGCGGGCCGCCGGGCCGGGCCUGAGGUGGGUGGGUCCCUGCGCCCCCUGCCUGCUCAACUUCCCUCUCCAGCUCCCGGCUCGUCUUUGAUGUCCGACAAACCCGGGUGGGCAAGGAGCGUCCGUUCCGCUGCUCCGCGUGGCUGCAGCUCCGCAAGCGCUGAGCCCCGCCGUCCGCUCUGGCCGCGGAGCCGGCCAAAGGCCAGAAAAUGCGCAGAGCGCUCGCAACCUACCCCGGAGCCGCCGGCCGCGCGUCCCGAGCCGGCCGCAGCCGCAGCCGCCGCCGCCGCGCCGCGCCCCGCCCCGCCGCCUCGCUCCCCCAGCGCCUGCGGCCGGGAAGCUGGAGCAGCCGCGCCCGGAGACCCUGCUCGGGGUGGAGCGUGCACCACCGGGGCAGUGCGUUUAGCAAACACACCUUUGUGAGUACACACGCCGCGGGGGCGGGCGACACCCCCACGGGCCGCUCGGCUGCGCCCGGCGGCGGACAGCGGCUGCGAGCGCACCCCGUGCGCCCUCGGGUCUGCGGCCCUGCCCGGAGCCGGGCGGGCGCUCGGGACGCGCGCCGCGCUGGCUGUCGCGGGCGGCCACUCCUCCCGGGGCCCGGC
rnacentral:lncRNA from 1 species